ensembl:lncRNA ITGA9-AS1 ITGA9 antisense RNA 1
GCUCGCCUGCUCGCCUGGUGGGGGAGAGGGGAGCGGGGCCGACACAGGACUGCAGUUGACAGCAGAUAACUGAAAGCUCGGAAAGCGAAACCGUGGAUAAGCAGGGGAACUGUGGCAUCCCAUUUAAAAUUGCUUCUGAAGAGAAGCAUGAGGUUACAUCUGUAAUCUCCCUGCAGCAGAGUCAACUGCAUAAGAAACCAAAAGACACACCUGCUCCAUGCCAGCCUAAGCCACCACAUAAAAAGUCAGACCAUCUGCUGGAAGAACCACAUGGAGAGGCCCUGAGUCAACAUGGAGAGGAAGAAGGACUUGACUGAAUCCAGCCUUCCAGCUGUCCCUACCAAGGUGCCAGGCAUGAGAAUGAAGCUGUCUUGAACUCUGAAGACCAGCUUAGCCACCAGUUUCUGUGGGCCUCAAACAACACUUUCUGCAUUUUCCCCUCUCGCCCCCUACUCAUCACUCCCUGAAAGGUAAGUAGAGUUGGGUUGAAGAUGAAAUUCAACAUGUAAUUGGCACCUCGCAACCAGCACUUUGAUUCUGCAGUCACACAGGUCUCACAUGG